GUCACCCAUCAGUUGAAGCCUUGUACCCAGAGGGCAAGGGAGCUUACUGAGGCAGCUGUAGUGACAGCCCGUGAGGCACAGAGGCAGUUAAAUGUGAGGACUGACACAGAGAUUGCAGAUAGAUCAUCAGAGAGAAGCUGCUGGUUAAAAAGCACUUGGUUUACAUCACAGAGGCUCAAGAGAUGUUUUUUGAACAAAGGAAGAGAAUGAGAUUGAAAGUGCUACAGGUUGUACCCACCGGGCCUUCUAUUCUCAAAUCAGAGAUAAGACCUGCUUCCUAUCUGUUGCAGCAAGGCUGCUCUUCAGUUGUUACAUGGAGUCGAACCAGAGGCUACAGGAGCCAUCACAAGUGGGUAACAGAAGUUAUUUGACCAUUGAUGAAGAGAACUCUGCACUGAAUGCCUGUACACCCCAGUAACAGAUCAAUCCAGAGAGGGCUGAGCCUCCUCUUUGCCACUCACUGCUUCGAACAUUCAGAGAGAGCCUAGGAGAUAACAAAUGCUGCUAGGGCUCUCUCAGAAACACCAUCACUCCUGGGCGAACUGAAUCUCCCACAGAGAAAUCCUCACAUCUGUCCAUUCAUUCAUCUGUUCAUCCACUGCCAUCUACCAUCCACCCACCCACUCAUCCAUCCAUCCAUCCUCUGAUCCAACUAAUACAUAAAUAUGUAUUAGGUGACCUGUAACUUUGCCGUUAGAAAUGUUGAGACCAACUAAUUCCCCCUCAUCCUUGGUGAGUAAAAUCCAAGUGCCUCUGGAAUCCUGUUAUUUCUCUGUCUCAUCUCUAUAUUGCUUUGAGCUUCUUCUUUCCUUAAUCAGUCCUCUUCCCACUUCCACACACACAUCUGGAACAUCUGUUCUCUGGCUCCAUUGGUGAGAUAAGUCCCCAUCUAGCCUUUGCCUAAGCUAAGGAUCCCUUUACCGCUUGGUCUUCACUGACUUCCAGGUGGUCUUUUCCAAUGCCCUUUGUUCUUUUCACCUGCUCCCACCUCUGCCACCUAAAUUGGGGUUGGAAGGGAAAAUGAGCAUCUUUCUUGCUUUUUGAUGCCCUUCACGACAUUCCUCCUUUCUCUCAUGUAAAAAUUCCUGAUUAUUUUGGCUUGUAUAUUCCACUAGAGUCCUCUCUACUACUCCAAGCAAUUUUAAAACAAAAAGAGUAAGAUACUUUGAAUUUGAAGGACUUUGGGGUAGAAGACAGGGAACUG
rnacentral:lncRNA from 1 species